UAUUUAUAUUAUAAAAAUAAAUAAUAAUAAUAAAAUAAAAACAAUAAAUUUAAUAAAGUAAUGAGCAUGAUGUUGGCUCAGGUUAAACGUUUUCUAAGGACAUCAUACAUGCAAAUCGAACGUUUAUUGAUAGGAAAUAUUAAGAUAUCUCUUAUUAAUAAAAGUGGUGUGAAGGUGAGUAUAAUUGAAAUCAGAACUAUUAAUUUGAUUAAAAUAUCAAAUAAUAAAUAAAGAAUAUAUUUUAUAAUAAAUAUAUUUGUUAAUAAGUCGAGUCAAUUUUGGAAUAGGUAGUAGGUGAUGUAAGAGAUCAACCUAGCCAAUGAUCCAUAGUCAAUAAUCAAACGUUAUAAUGACCACAUUGGUAGUUAAAUAUAUCAAUAUUAAUUAUGUCAGUAUAUUAUAUAAAAUAUAUGGCAUAAAAUACAGCAGUAGGGAAUCUUAGACAAUGAUCGAAAGAUUGAUCUAGUUACUUAGAAAGAUGAAGCUUAUGAUAAUUAAAUUAAAUAUUUAUAUUUAAUUUGAAUGGAAAAAUAAGAAUGAAGAAUAUAAAGUCUGGUCAAUCAAUUAAUAAUGAUAAUUGAUAUGAUUAUGUCCCAACCAAGAGUAGUGCCAGCAGUUGCGGUUAGACUACGGGGGCUUACGUUAACCAAUAGUUGGCUUAAAGCAUCCGCAGGUGAUAUUGAAAAAAUAUUAGAGUUAUUUUUGGAAAAUAUUGAAGAAUUAUGGGAAGAUAUAAAAAGUAAUGAUGAUAAUUCGACAUUUAAUUAUUGAAAAUUAUAUUUCUAAAAUAACUGACACUCAGGGAUUAAGACGUGAGUAGCAAAUCGGAUUAGAUACCCGACUAGUUCACGUUGUAAACUAUGAAUGCUAUUGAUUAUAUUAUGAUUUUUUUUCAAUCUUUUAACAAUAUAAGUGAAAACUUAAGCAUUCCGCCAGACGAGUAUACUCUCAAGAGUGAAACUCAAGACAAUAGGCGGUUACAGGAAUAUGCAGUGGAUUGUGUUUUUUAAUUCGAUAAUACACGAUAAUCUUACCAUCGCUUGCAUUUUUUAUUCUAUUUAAUUUUAAUUCUUUUUAAUUAAAGGAAUAUUUAACAAAUGUUACAUCGUUGUUGCCAGUUCGUGCCUUAUGGUUUUGAUUAAUUUCUUGAACGAACGCAAUUCCUUUUCUAUACAGGUUAUGUUAUUCUUUUAUUAAUAUUUUUAUUAAUAUUAAUUUUCAUAUUAUAACUAUAUAUAGAUUUUUUUGUUAAUCAUCUUUAUGAUUACUUUUUUUAGGAGCUACAACAAAUCUUGAUGACUUUUAUGUGAUGGGCUAAAGACGCAAUACAAAAUCUCGUACAAUGCCUUAUUAGACUUAGUAUAGUAUUCUUUUUAUACUUUUCUUUAAUUAUUUGGUUAAAACGAGAUAUCCAAUAUAUCUUUUGAGAUAUAUAUAUUAUAUGGAUUAUCUUCUGAAAUUCGAAGAUAUGAAAUUGGAAUUGUUAGUAAUCGUAUUUUAUCGGAAUACGGUGAAAUUUAUAACUGUUUCGUACUAAUUACUCAUCAUUCGCUGGAAUUUCGAAUAUAUUAUAGUAUACAUUCUCUAUUAUAUUAAUUUUAAUUUUAAUAUUUUAGAUAUUUUUGUAUUUACAGUCAUAUCCUAGAAUAACCAGUGAGAAGUUGAAAUACAGUUACCGUGGGGGAACCGGCGGUGGUUUGUGUUACUAAUUUGAGAAUCCUUAUAUUAUUCAACUUAUAUAUAUAUUACAUUAUAUCAU
rnacentral:ncRNA from 1 species